rnacentral:lncRNA from 1 species
AGCUCAUUAACUUUGUAUGUGAAUCAAACAACAAGUCAACCAUAAGAAGUCCUGUGAGAGUCCCUUCUUCUCUCUGAUUCGGAUCUGGCCUCACCUUUUGACAGAAAUGUUUGGAGAAGAGAAGGUUUACCACUCAAGAAGCGUUGGAAUUGAUCCUGAACAAUGCAAACCCUUGUGACUCAGAUGGGGAGGACAUAAACCUUCAGCCAAAUUCGGAUUCGGACUCUGAGCUGUCUUCAGAUGACGCGACUGCUCCUCAUCUGGAAAAGAGAGCUCGGUUGGAGAGUGAGCCCACAGAGACGGCGAAAGAGGGCACAGUGUGGCAUGAAGAACAUGUGGGUA